rnacentral:lncRNA from 1 species
CCGUCAUCAGCAAAACCAAAGUUCGGGUCAUACUGGAUCAACAAUGGAAAGGUGGUGGGUGUGUUUCUAGAAGGUGGUGCACCUGAGGAAAACCAAGCCAUAGCCAAAGUAGCCAAACUCCAACCACCAGCCUCCAGCCUAGAUGUGCUUGCCAAAGAAGGUCUUGACUUUGCCAGCAAGAUUUGAGAACCUUACCUUCUUUAUGAGACUUUAUAUAUAUGAGUUUGAUUGGUUACGUUAAAAACGGUUAAUAACACAAUGUGUUUCAGAAAUUGUGGAUUUA